rnacentral:lncRNA from 10 species
AGGGCAACCUGUGUCCCAGGCUGCUCAGGAAACAGACGCCCAGGGGCCGAGCCUUGGCGUGUCUCGCACUUUCUGGGCCUCUGAGUCCACGGAUGUUAGCCCACAUCAAAGAAAGAGGCUCACCAUUCAGGGGCAUGGCGGGGCAGUGAACUUCCCACAAGCUCUCCCUGCUCUCACCAUGGGCUGCAGCCUUGACCUUGGCUUUGUUUAUGAGGGAGAUGGUGAGGAAAGCCUUCCAGCAGGGGGGACGUGUCGGGGAGGCCACAGGACAGCCGGCAUUCAUGGAGCUUUUACUCCAGGUCAGACCCUGUAAUAGCUGCAGACAUGCAUUUUCUCACAUUUCUCGUCACAAUUGCUGGAUUAUCUCCAUUUCACAGGCUCAUGGGCCUCUCCUCCCUGCUUCCCUGGGUUAGUUUUCCUCUGGAAAAUCAGGUAAGUGAUCAUCAAAAUAGCAAGCAUGAGUUUACAAAGGUUCUAGAACCAAGCUGAGCCCUCAUACGCGCUCCCUGGUUGGUGGUCCCUGACUGCCUCUGAGAAGGACAUUGGAAGCCCAGGUGGAAUGUGAACUCUACAUUUAUUUCUAAGAGUUUAGAGUUUACUAAGACCCCCACUUUUACCCCCACCCAAUUCUUUCCUUCCCCUAGCCCCUUUGUUUGGUCUCUUUUGGUGGCCAGAGGUAGUGAAGGCAGGAGGGCUCACACUUUCUUGGGUGGGCUAUUUGCUUCUCUGUGUUUUCCAUUCCAUCCCACCCCAGCCUCCCCCUGUUCCCAAGGAAGCCAAAGAUGGGGCAUUAGAUUUGCGUGUUUUAGUCUUCUAUCUUCGCAUGAGCAAUGGCCAGACCCUAAUUAACCCUAGAGAUGAAAGCUGUCUCAGAAUCCACCUGGGAGACCAUACCUUAAAAACAUUGAAGAGUGGGGCCU